AAGGUAUUAUACUAUUAUGUCAACUAUAUUUUAUUGUUAAAACAUUUUAACAAUAAAAUAUAGUUGACAUAAUAGUAUAAUACCUUUACAUUCUUAA